rnacentral:tRNA from 1 species
GGAGAGAUGCCAGAGCGGUCGAAUGGGGCGGUCUCGAAAACCGUUAUACGGUUUCCCGUAUCGGGGGUUCGAAUCCCCCUCUCUCCGCCA